rfam:Nocardia sp. Root136 contig_5, whole genome shotgun sequence.
CGAGUCGGCCGGGCGACCGCGGUAACGGGAACGGACACCAACGGUGUCGCUGCCCGGUACCGAGGAAAGUCCGGACUCCACAGAGCAGGGCGGUUGUUAACGGCAACCCGGGGCGACCCGCGGGACAGUGCCACAGAGAACAGACCGCCGCACGCGAGUGCGGUAAGGGUGAAACGGUGCGGUAAGAGCGCACCAGCGCCCCGGGUGACCGGGGCGGCUAGGUAAACCCCGCCCGGAGCAAGGUCAAAGGUCGCAUCGGCAACGGUGCGGCUGCGCAGGUGUUCGAGGGCUGCUCGCCCGAGCCUGCGGGUGGACCGCUCGAGGCACCCGGCAACGGUGUGUCCAGAUGGAUGGUCGCCCCCCGAUGCGAAUCGGGGACAGGAUCCGGCUUACAGGCCGGCUCGCCCG